rnacentral:lncRNA from 1 species
UGUCUUUUAGUGAGGACACUUACUUGCCUUUGGAUUUAGGGCCCACAAAGAUAACCCAGGAUGAUCUCAUCUUGAGAUCCUUAAGUACAUCUGCAAAUACCUUUUUUUCCAAAUAACAUCACAUUGGCAGUUUCCCAGACAUAGCUUUUUUGGGGGAUGGGGUUGGGGGAAAAUUCAAUUUACUACAGAUGAAAAUCACAUAACUUGUUUCAGAGAGUUGUCAUGAGAGGUCCCUGAAACAAGGUGUGUGAGGCAGCCUGCCCCAGAGUGGGUGGGUGUUAAAUGUUAGUUUUCUCCUCUACUUCUCCCUCUGUCCUCAAAAAGGUUUAGCACUACUAAUUCACAAUGAAGUGGCUGGGGCCGAAGGGUUUCUUCUCCCAGCCUACCUCCACUGGAGAGAAUUUCAUUUUAAUGAGGAGUCAGGACUGUUGAGAGAGAACUUAAUGUCCAAAGAAGUCCCCAAGGAGCCACAUGCUGCUUGAAUUAUGUAAAGGGACUCUUUUCCUGACAUUCCAGACUGUGUUAUACAGAAGCCCAAUAAAUGUUUGUGGAACUGACAUGAUAGAGAAAGUUCUUGUAAAGAUGGAAGAGAUUUGAGUGUGGAUAUGGACUAAGGAAAAAGUUCUAGCAGAGAGGUGAAGAUUGAAGAUGCUAAAGAGAGAAGGUUGUCCUUGGACUCAUGGAGAGAAAGCUGGCCCUGAGCUCUUGGGGGCACUGCUCACCAGGAACUAAUUGACACAUGGAUUUGGAAGUUCAGUUGGCGAGUCGGCUGCUAUUUCACAGGCAUCCCCUUUUGCCCCUGAGAGUGGUUCUUCCAGCCACCAAUUUAAAGUGGAGGGAGAGGGACAAAAAACCACCUGCCAGGUAUUAUGCUUAUUACCUGGGUGUCAAAAUCAUCCAUACACCAAACUUCUGUGACAAGCAGUUUACCUAUAUAACAAACCUGCACAUG